CCUACGGGAGGCUGCAGUGGGGAAUAUUGGACAAUGGGGGCAACCCUGAUCCAGCCAUGCCGCGUGUGUGAAGAAGGCCCUCGGGUUGUAAAGCACUUUCAGUGAGGAAGAACGCCUGGUGGUUAAUACCCAUCAGGAAAGACAUCACUCACAGAAGAAGCACCGGCUAACUCCGUGCCAGCAGCCGCGGUAAUACGGAGGGUGCGAGCGUUAAUCGGAAUUACUGGGCGUAAAGCGCGCGUAGGUGGCUUGAUAAGCCGGUUGUGAAAGCCCCGGGCUCAACCUGGGAACGGCAUCCGGAACUGUCAAGCUAGAGUGCAGGAGAGGAAGGUAGAAUUCCCGGUGUAGCGGUGAAAUGCGUAGAGAUCGGGCGGAAUACCAGUGGCGAAGGCGGCCUUCUGGACUGACACUGACACUGAGGUGCGAAAGCGUGGGUAGCAAACAGGAUUAGAUACCCGUGUAGUC
rnacentral:rRNA from 1 species